GGCCCGAUGGUCUAGAGGUAUGAUUCUCGCUUAGGGUGUGAGAGGUCCCGGGUUCAAUUCCCGGUCGGGCCC
rnacentral:tRNA from 2 species